CCACGAGUAUGUUAUAAAGAGGAGGAGAAUUCUCUGCCGGGACAGAGAGCACAACUGCGAGUCCGCGCUCAUACUUACAUGACUCCGAGUCCGCGAGAGCGUGGAAUUUAACAGGAUUACCGGAGGAGGAGGAGGAGAGUGUGCCUGCACGGAUUUGCAAGAGUCAAUAGUGGCGCAGCGAAUGCAUUUGAAAUGGGAGACACAAGCGUGGAGUUUCUAAGCUGAAGGAUCCUGACAGUGGGAGAGACUAGAAGCGAAAGACCAGGCGACUAAACUCACGAGAAUUCCUCUUCGUCAAGAGGUGCGUAAGAGAUGUUGGACUAAAAUGGAUUCUCGUUUGCUUGGUUAAGCACAGUUCUAGUAGCUCCCUGGCCAGCGCCCUCGACUUUAAAAGUUGCUCGUGAACUUUCCAAGAGAUGAACAUGCAAGCGGGGGCAUCAACGUCGCCGACAGCGAAAUCUAUCGCAUCAAAGGUGUUUUUAUUUUUCCUUCUUUUCUUCCUUUUUGUGUCAGGAAGAAAAAAUGGAUCCGGGGCGCGCUAAUAGGCAGCCACUAAGCCGGAUUAGACACGGAGAAGAGAGAAAAGGUGGCAGGCAGUGGCACGAAACGCAAUCGCAAUCCAGCACAAAACACAACAUAGUCAAGAAAGAUGACGCACCCGACUGGCGGGAUAGCGAUACCGCGCCCGUUGGAUCCGGGCACCAGAACGGACGGCCCACAAUCGAAGUUGGCCCGCCAGCCGUCCGAUCGCGGAUCUCGCAACGGUGAAUGCCUAGAGAUUAUAUCUCUUUUUUGGCGUGGAAAGGGGGGCUCUUUUGUCAAUGCAGCUUGGAUCCUCACAGCUUUCACUUGCAGCACGGAGUGAAAGAGAAAGAGAAAGAGAGAGAGAGAGAGAGCGCUUUCGAGAAAGAAUGGGUGCUCUGAUCGGCCCAGCAACCAGAGCACACACCCAUCCCUCGCGAAGGAAUCAUUUUCUGGAAGAAAUUUUUGGAUCAGCGUGUCA